rnacentral:rRNA from 1 species
CGGAGAGGGAGCAUGAGAAACGGCUACCACUUCUAAGGAAGGCAGCAGGCGCGCAAAUUACCCAAUCCUGACUCAGGGAGGUAGUGACAAGAAAUAACAAUAAACCGGCUUAUGCCGGUUUAAUUGGAAUGGGUACAAUUUAAACAUCUUAACGAGGAACAAUUGGAGGGCAAGUCUGGUGCCAGCAGCCGCGGUAAUUCCAGCUCCAAUAGCGUAUACUAAAGUUGUUGCAGUUAAAAAGCUCGUGGUUGGAUUUCUGCGGGGACGGAGCGGCCGGACGCAACUUGCGUCUCGAGCUAGCGCUUUCCCCGCAUCCUGCCGCGAACCGUGCUACCAUUAGUUUGGUGGCGCUGGGGAUCGGCUCGAUUACUUUGAGAAAAAUAGAGUGUUCAAAGCAGGCCACACGCCUUGAAUAAGUUAGCAUGGAAUAAUGACUAAGGACUUCGGUUCUAUUUUGUUGGUGUUCGGGACUGAAGUAAUGAUUGAUAGGGACAGUUGGGGCGGUCUGUAUUCCAAAGCGAGAGGUGAAAUUCUUAGACCUUCGGAAGACAAACAGCUGCGAAAGCGUUCCGCAAGGAUGUUCCCUUUGAUCAAGAACGAAAGUUGGGGGAUCGAAGACGAUCAGAUACCGUCGUAGUCUCAACUAUAAACUAUACCAGCUAGGGAUCGGUCAACGUUUAAUUAUUCGACUUGAUCGGCACCUUAUGGGAAAUCAAAGCAUCUGGGUUCCGGGGGGAGUAUGGUCGCAAGGCUGAAACUUAAAGGAAUUGACGGAAGGGCACCACCAGCCGUGGAGCCUGUGGCUUAAUUUGACUCAACACGGGAAAACUUACCAGGUCCAGACAUAGUAAGGAUUGACAGAUUGAUAGCUCUUUCUUGAUUCUGUGGGUGGUGGUGCAUGGCCGUUCUUAGUUGGUGGAGUGAUUUGUCUGGUUAAUUCCGUUAACGAACGAGACCCCAGCCUGCUAAAUAGCGCGGCUGAGCUUUGCUCGGUGCGAGCUUCUUAGAGGGACUAUGAUGCGCGAUAGCACAUGGAAGUUUGGGGCAAUAACAGGUCUGUGAUGCCCUUAGAUGUUCUGGGCCGCACACGGGCUACACUGGCGCCUGCAACGAGCAUAUCAGCUGGCCCGAGAGGGUCUUGGCUAAUCUUUUGAACCGGCGCCGUGCUUGGGAUUGACCUUUGCAAUUGUUGGUCAUGCAACGAGGAAUGCCUUGUAAACGCGAGUCAUCAGCUCGCAUUGAAUACGUCCCUGCCCUUUGUACACACCGCCCGUCGCUCCUACCGAUGAAUGUUCCGAUGAAAUUUUCGGAGAGCGCCAGAGAACGGGGCUCUGCCUUGCAGAUCUGGAGGCUCAAAGUCACUUAAAUCUGAACAUUUCGAGGAAGGAGAAGUCGUAACAAGGUAACC